rnacentral:rRNA from 1 species
AGAGUUUGAUCCUGGCUCAGGAUGAACGCUAGCGACAGGCUUAACACAUGCAAGUCGAGGGGCAUCAUGAGGUAGCAAUACCUUGAUGGCGACCGGCGCACGGGUGAGUAACGCGUAUGCAACCUGCCCGAUACCGGGGUAUAGCCCAUGGAAACGUGGAUUAACACCCCAUAGUACUUUUAUCCUGCAUGGGAUGUGAGUUAAAUGUUCAAGGUAUCGGAUGGGCAUGCGUCCUAUUAGUUAGUUGGCGGGGUAACAGCCCACCAAGACGAUGAUAGGUAGGGGUUCUGAGAGGAAGGUCCCCCACAUUGGAACUGAGACACGGUCCAAACUCCUACGGGAGGCAGCAGUGAGGAAUAUUGGUCAAUGGGCGAGAGCCUGAACCAGCCAAGUAGCGUGAAGGAUGACUGCCCUAUGGGUUGUAAACUUCUUUUAUAUUAGAAUAAAGUGCAGUAUGUAUACUGUUUUGUAUGUACAAUAUGAAUAAGGAUCGGCUAACUCCGUGCCAGCAGCCGCGGUAAUACGGAGGAUCCGAGCGUUAUCCGGAUUUAUUGGGUUUAAAGGGAGCGUAGGUGGACUGGUAAGUCAGUUGUGAAAGUUUGCGGCUCAACCGUAAAAUUGCAGUUGAUACUGUCAGUCUUGAGUACAGUAGAGGUGGGCGGAAUUCGUGGUGUAGCGGUGAAAUGCUUAGAUAUCACGAAGAACUCCGAUUGCGAAGGCAGCUCACUGGAGCGCAACUGACGCUGAAGCUCGAAAGUGCGGGUAUCGAACAGGAUUAGAUACCCUGGUAGUCCGCACGGUAAACGAUGGAUGCCCGCUGUUGGCCUGAAUAGGUCAGCGGCCAAGCGAAAGCAUUACGCAUCCCACGCCAGCCGGAAGCUUCAGGCGACUUGCGUAUGAACAUGAUUAUCGCUGCUGCGCUGGUAGAAGGUGUGGCAUUGAUUGCUAUCGUGGUUUGUUUGUUGACUUUGUUCUUGUAAAAAAUAAAACAAUAAGUUAUGGGAUUAUUAACUCCGGAUCCGGGGCUGCUGUUCUGGAUGGUCAUCACCU